AAAGCUCUAGUCAAGCUAAAUCGCUGAAUAAAUAAUAAAAAUAAUAUUUUUUUGAACUUUAUUUAACUUUAAUCAAGAGGGCUUAGUGUUAAUCUUAAACAAUCGUUUUAUAGUAUACGCUACUUGCUGGCGAAUACUAACGGCGUCAUUCGUCAAUCAACCAUUGAUCUCUGUGUUAAUCCUCAAGUCCUGGUAAUCUUAUUAAGUACCUAGGUCUGGGUCCCUGCCUGUAACCGGACAUGGCGGACAUAGUGAAGAGGAUGUAUAUUACUACAUAAUGAACACCUAUAUUCUCAGGUACUACAUACCUAUCAAUUUACUGAGAAGCAGAAAGACUUGACUCCAAUUCUGCUGAUAUCACCUGUGCCACAAUCUACCAUAGUACUCUGCUGUGCCACAAUCUACCAUAGAUUGUGGCACAGCAGAGUACUUGCAAUAGACAUGUUUUUUAAGUGCGUCUAGUCUUCUCGUGGUUGUCUAUCUCAUGACUUCCUGAAGGCUUAUAUAUGCCAGAAUAAGUCAAGUACAUGGGUAAGCUAAAUUCAAAGAGUAAAUUUAUUAUUUUUAUCUCUUUUCAUGCAUGGGAAGAGACCCGGUCUUCUUAAAAGGCGUGCAUAAGGUACACAGGAUUUUGUUGGGAACUUUAUUCUAAAGUGUGAUGGGGUUUCUACCAGGGGCUACCGGUAGAUACCCUAUUAGGCUAUUGGUACCCUAAUGUUAUUUUUAUGGCCUUCCAUUAUACCGCCACGAUAGGCAGCACAAUGGGAUUUCUCUUUAUUACGCCAUCAGACUUUCACCGCAAGCGUGCUCUAGCGACCCGUCUCUAGCCAGCCAGGUAAGGCAAGAAAGAGGUGGGAGUCCGCAUUAAGAGUGAACAGCUUGGGCACCUAAUGCACUUCAUAACUUUUAUUAGACAACACAUUCAAACAAGAAACAGGUAGCCAAUCAAAUAGUGUCGUCAAAAUGACGACCAUUAAAUAUAUAUUCGUGACAUCAUGUAACGUAUAUUAUGGUGCUUCAGAGUUCAUAGUCAAGUCAAAAAGAACUGUCCAAAAUCAAUUCGAGUAUAAGGCAUCAUUAGCAAAACAAUCUUGUAAGAUUGCCUUCCAAGUAAAAAAAAGUUAUGUCACGCACGGAUUACCUGCGAUGUGUCGAAGACAAAAUAAUAAUAUGUAUAGUUUCAGCUGGAAGACAGUUCAAGACUGUCUGUCUUAGACAAAAAGUAUAACUUUAAGAGAUGAUGGUAGACUCAGUUUUAGGGUUAUUUAGCAUGCAUAGAAAUAAAAGAGCUCUUUCGGUUCGACAGUUAUUUUAAUUUAAAAUUUCAAAAAGCAAAUACAAUAAUCUCCGCAUGACUCGUCUCAUAAAGCUUUACACGUAAAGUAGUUAUCUUUAAUAGUACAAUAAUAAUAAAUAUAA